GUAAAAUGGGAGGGAGAACACUUCCAGCUGGGACGAGCUCAAGCAUGGAGAGCCGGGGACCACACUGGGAAUCUGGACCACCACUCCCCACCUUCAAGAUCUGACAACCCCUCCCCACCACAUCUCCCCCAUUUCUUCCCAUCAGUUCCCAGGCAGAUCCAGUUGCAGGGAGUGGGGAGCGUGUGCCAAGAGCCCCUUCCAGCUGGUGACCCGAGGAUGCGGCCUGAGGAGUCCUCCAUCCUUAACAAAGGGCCACCCUUUUCCACCCGUGAAUUGAAGAGAUGGACGAGGGCGACGGUGACAGGCACGGAGGGUCAGCGCGGCAGGCAGGUGCUGCUGUCACCCCACUGCACAGCUGGGAGACCCGAGGCUGCCGAGGUGUGCAGGGCCUCACUUGCUCAGGGCCACACCGCCAGGAAGAGGCCCAAGAGGGAUUAGAACCCAGCU
rnacentral:lncRNA from 1 species